UAUAAAUUUUUUCAAAUAGCAUUCUAAAACUUUUAUGACAGUGGUGUAUUGAAAAGGCAUAGACCAACAAACAAUGUCAGCCUACAAAAGGUGCACAGUGGUAUAAGAUUCGGAUAGAGGUGUGCACAUAUCUCAAAGGAUCAGCUACAACCCCCUUCAAAAUUCAAUAAUGAUCCUUCCGCAGGUUCACCUACGGAAA
rnacentral:misc_RNA from 1 species